rnacentral:lncRNA from 1 species
AGGAUUAUAAGAAAUGAAUAGUGAGAGUCAAGCUUCUACCGAUAGUAGCGGUAGUGGUACAGGAGGUAGUGCUAGUGGUAGUUUAAGUAGUAUUAAUAAUAAUACUCCAUUAUGGAAGUAUGUAAAAAAGGUGGAAAAGUUAGAGGAUGGUGGAGGAAACAUGAGGUUCGAAUGCAAUUUUUGCAAACAAGUUUAUAAUGGAUCAUAUUAUACGG